rnacentral:misc_RNA from 1 species
GAUGAAGAACGCAGCGAAAUGCGAUAAGUAAUGUGAAUUGCAGAAUUCAGUGAAUCAUCGAAUCUUUGAACGCACAUUGAGCCCCCCAGUAUUCUGGCGGGCGUGCCUGUUCGAGCGUCAUUUCAACCAUCAAGCCCUGCUUGUGUUGGGGUCCUGCGGCUGCCCGCAGGCCCUGAAAACCAGUGGCGGGCUCGCUAGUCACACCGAGCGCAGUAGCACAUCUCGCUCAGGGCGUGCGGCGGGCUCCAGCCGUUAAAGCACCCACCUUUCGCAAGGUUGACCUCGGAUCAGGUAGGAAUACCCGCUGAACUUAAGCAUAUCAAUAAGCGGAGGA